rnacentral:lncRNA from 1 species
AAGGGAACAUCUGAGGAUGCAGAAAAACUUGUUCUAUCUAAAUUUUUCACAGGCAAAGGGAAGAAUUGGAGCCUUGCCCCCUCAACCCUUCACCAUCUGCAUGGCCAUCCUUUGGGCAUUUUUAUGCCUUGUUCAUAUUGUGGCACAUGGUGCUCAAGGUGAAGAUACUCCAGUGGGGAGUGGAGGGUGACAAUCACUUUCCUGAACCAUUCAACUGGUCAAAGGAUAUUUAGUGAGGAAGAAAAUUAAGUAGGAAGUAAUGAUUAGGUUUCUCAGAGAGGCUAUGUGUUCUACAUCCUCAAAGAGAAAGGAAACUUGACUGGCCUGAGCAACCUGGUGUGUUAUGGCCUUGUCAACCAGCGGUCACCGGGGGUUCCCACAGUCUGAAGUUAUUCUGUGGCUACACAAAGUGACCCGAAGGGAAUGUCGAGGGAUGUACUUAAGACUACUUCACACCACUGACAACUUUUAUUGCUGCUUCCUCCCAGCAAGAUGGAUAUGGUUUCUGUUGCUCAGUAACAUGAAAAUAUAUCAACU